rnacentral:lncRNA from 1 species
AUAUUUUAGUCUAUGAAUUUAACUUUUUUUAUGACAUGGAAAUGAAAAUACUCAAGUUUUAAAUCCUAGCUCCGCCACUGUUUAUAUUUAUAUCAUAUAAACACAGGACGGCUUUUUUUUAUUUCUUAUGAUAAAUAACAGGAUUCAUGGUCAUUUAGAUUUAGGGGGCAAGCAGACAAACUUUGGGGCAGCGGCAAUCUCUCCAGCAACCCUCCCUCGUCGGAUAACAAUUGUCGAAUGAACAGCAGUAGCAGAUAACUUCAGAUGAUCCCUUUUGGCAGGUCCCGAUCUCGCAUGGGCACACAUGAACAACAUUCCGAGCUGCAUGCAUAUAAGGGCAUUCACUUAAACAAUUAGUUAAUGUAAACCUAAUUUCUACAGUACUUUUAACGUCGUUUCUCUGUUUCUCGAAUUGGAUAUAUUGUGGAAACAACUCAUAUUUUUAUUUACUAAAAACUAAUAAUAAGUAACUUCAUCCAAAUGCGCCUGGAUGUUUGAUGUGCACUUACAGUGUGUAGGAAUCAUGAAACAUCCCAAAAUGACAAUGAAGAGUAUGACCGUCUUGCUUCCAUCCAUUGUAAUUUAUUUCUAGGAGUUUCUCCAGAUCAGAG